UGUGCUGCUCCGCUCUUCUACCGGGAUGUGUUUCAAGCUGGAAACCGAUAGCAGUUCGCGUCACGAGUAAGGAGCUCUGAUGUUGCGCAAUAAAUGUUUCUCCGAAAAGCCUCUCGACCUCCUGCACGGCUUCCACUGCGUUCCGCAAUUGUUUGUAGCGCAGAAUGAUCCAUCGGCAAGUCAAGAACUGGGCCAAGUAGGAAAAGGAGACCGUCCCGGUUAGAAUGGUGAAGAUGAUGGGCAUAGUUCGAUCGGAUAAUAACGCUUGAAACUGGGUCUUCCUUCUCCGGCGUUCUCCCCAUUGGAAUGGAAUUAGCGCCAUCCCGUCCACACCAUCUAGCGAAGAAGGAAACAAAUACGAAAUGCUGCCAUCUAGCAAUAAAAAAGGAAAGGCUUACUUGGAAGUGACGGAACUAUAAGUAGAAACCAACAUGGCAGCGACCAGCGUGGUGAGAACUGAGAAGUGCUUUAACAUUUCUUAAGAUUUGUCGUUCUAUCGUUCUUUUAACUACCUGUGACUUAUUUUCAUACUGAAUAACUCCCAAGAUGUAAUUUCAUUGUUCAUUCAGUCUUUCAGUAACUAAGCUUAGAAAAUUGCCAGUGGAACAUGUGAUUAGGAGCAAGAGUUGGAAUGAAGAAUAGUUCAACAGGCCUACAAGUGUCCAUGGAUACCUUUUUUAUUUCAGAUGGACAACUCUGACAACAAGGAUUUUUUGGGAGUUGCUGUUGAUUUCUAUCUCCGACACAAUUUCUCAGAAAUUAAUUACUUGAUACACCAGUCUUCAAUGAUUAGUAGAUUUGAUGAAUAACAACGGCAAUACCGAUAAACCCUUGGCAUUCAUUUGUUCCCGAUGAACGGCACUAUCUAUUACCCAUUAAAAAUGUGAAUAAAAACAAUAAGAUGAGGAAUGCGGAUCAAAAACAGUGUUGGAGUAAAAUGUUGGAUUUGUCAUUGAAGUUGGAUAGAAAGGAGGAGAGUAAUCCCAGUUGUUCCAGUAGUAGGAGGAAUAGUCUUGCUGCUGUGGUUGCUGCUCCGUUCGGAAUCCAUUCGAGUUAUUGAAGUUGGACUGGGGACUUACGACGUGUUGUGGACAGCUGGUAGCAAGCCAUUCGGAUUGAAGUGGAGACGACGAUGAUGAUCCGGACGUGGAGUAGUUGAUUGGUUCCACGGGUGGAACUGCCGGAGGAUCCGAAUAAAAUCCAGGAGUUGGAAGGACUUGAGUUGAAACGGACGUACCAUGUUGACGUUGGCGAGAGACGUAAGGUGAUGAUCGACGAUGUUGGCGAUUUGUUUCGCAAGUUGAAGUUGCCGUUCUUGAAGAUCCAAGUUGGCGGACACGCCGACGGCGAUUCUGAAACCACCACUGAUGCAAUCAAGAGGAAAAAUUAAUUUCAGAAACUCCAAUCAGCUGGGCGAUGCGUCGACGACCUUCUCGAUUGGGAAACGGAUCUCUGUUGAAUUCUGCGUCGAGUACCUCCAGCUGGACCUCGUCGUAAAAGUGGCGCUGACGACCUGAUGCUGAAGCAGACUUCGUAGUGAAACCAACUGGAUAAUAAUCUGAAAAUUAUCCAGGCGGAAGUACUCAAUGGUCAUUGCUGUCCAGGAUCAACAGCUUAUUGGAAGAUUUUUUAGGUAUUAACCUUGCGGUGUUUCUUCUCGUCUUUGCCAGCAUCAGAUAAUCCAAAAUAUCCAGCCAGCUCAGCGUUUGACUUCUCAAAGGCUUCGUUUUCACCUUCCUCCCGCGGCAAAACCAUUCGGUGCCGUAAGUUAGGACUACAGUGACCCAACGACACCAGCCCCUUGAAGGUGGUAGAACGAGCUUAUCGCCGCUAAAGUGCAACUAUAGAAAAUUUCAUGGCCAAGACGAACCUGCCGCCACACCGGCACUUCCUCGAUGGUAUAAGAAGCCAGUUAUUGCAGAACGAAGUAGUUUAUAAGCUUUCCGGAUCCAGGUGCAAGGGGUGUCUGUAUUGACGUAGUGACGUCACAUAGACUUGCUGAAGGUCUCCGUUUAUUUCUCUGACCAACCUGGUAAAGUCUGAGCUCCUUCGUUGCUGCCCAACGUGCACAUGGAUUUGAUGUAGCCAGAUGGUUAAAGGUGUUCCUGGACUGUGUAAAGGGAAAAUGAUUGAACACAAGAUAGGUUGAUACUGAAAGAAUAUUUCUUUCAGUUUCAGUGUAGAGUAAAAGUUCCAAUGAUUUUGUAUUAAGUCUUAGAUGCAUCUAGUUUCAUGUAAAUUUUGUUUCAACAAUAGCUUUCAGUUGCUGUCCGAUGUGGGACGUUGUUGCAGCCAAUUCUGGUGAAAGAUCUUUUUGCAUAAUAUUAAACUGACUGUUCCUUGAUGCUGGUGUCGUGUUACCGAAGUUGCAUCAUUAUUUUGUUUAAUUGUUAUUGGGUCUGCAGUUUAUCGUUUA
rnacentral:lncRNA from 1 species